UACGUAGGGUGCAAGCGUUGUCCGGAAUUAUUGGGCGUAAAGAGCUCGUAGGCGGUUUGUCGCGUCUGGUGUGAAAAUCCAGGGCUUAACCCUGGACCUGCAUCGGGUACGGGCAGACUAGAGUGCGGUAGGGGCGUGCGGAACUGUGGGUGGAGCGGUGAAAUGCGUUGAUAUCCACAGGAACUCCGGUGGCGAAGGCGGCACGCUGGAC
rnacentral:rRNA from 1 species